rnacentral:misc_RNA from 1 species
AAAGAACCAAGCAUCAUUUAGGUAAAUGACAUGUUUCUUUCGUUUAAUAGGUCUAAUGGAAUUGCAGUGGUCUUUUUAUUUGGUAUUUGAUAUUUUGGUUUCUUUAUAGCUCCAUAUUUGGUACUAUUGAACUUUAUUACCCUAACCCUGAUUGAGUGCGGCCUGAAAAGAUGUAAUGGUACUUGAUGGUUUAAUAGGCUGGUAAUUAUUAGAUACACUCGCAGCAUGGCAGCACUGAAAAUUAGUACUCUCUUCCUCUCCUUAUAAUAUGGAGAUUAGAGAUGGUUUAAUAGGCGACUAAUUAUUAGAUACACCAGCGUGGCAGCAAGUACUCUCUAAUGGGUCCUCUAGCGAAGGUAAGAUAAUGCACUAGGUACAUCUAAUAAAUUUUCUUUGUAGAUAGUAUGUUAUAGUAAAAAUAAUAUAAAGGUU